rnacentral:rRNA from 1 species
UACAGAGGGGGCAAGCGUUGUUCGGAAUUACUGGGCGUAAAGAGCGCGCAGGCGGUCGAUCAAGUCGCGUGUGAAAGCCCCCGGCUCAACUGGGGAGGGUCACGCGAUACUGAUCGACUCGAAGGCAGGAGAGGGUAGUGGAAUUCCCGGUGUAGUGGUGAAAUGCGUAGAUAUCGAGAGGAACACCUGCGGCGAAGGCGGGUAGCUGGGCCGACACUGACGCUGAGGCGCGAAAGCCAGGGGAGCGAACGGG